AACGAACGCUGGCGGCAUGCCUAACACAUGCAAGUCGAACGAGACCUUCGGGUCUAGUGGCGCACGGGUGCGUAACGCGUGGGAACCUUCCCUUAUGUUCGGAAUAACUCCCCGAAAGGGGGGCUAAUACCGGAUAAUUUCUGCGGACCAAAGAUUUAUCGCCUUUGGAUGGGCCCGAGUUGGUUUAGCUUGUUGGUAGGGUAAAAGCCUACCAAGGCGACGAUACAUAGCUGGUCUGAGAGGAUGCUCAGCCACACUGGGACUGAGACACGGCCCAGACUCCUACGGGAGGCAGCAGUGGGGAAUAUUGGACAAUGGGCGAAAGCCUGAUGCAGCAAUGCCGCGUGAGUGAUGAAGGCGUUAGGGUUGUAAAGCUCUUUUACCCGGGAUGAUAAUGACAGUACCGGGAGAAUAAGCUCCGGCUAACUCCGUG
rnacentral:rRNA from 1 species